UACGCAGGGGGCUAGCGUUGUUCGGAUUUACUGGGCGUAAAGCGCACGUAGGCGGAUCGUUAAGUCGGGGGUGAAAUCCUGGAGCUCAACUCCAGAACUGCCUUCGAUACUGGCGAUCUUGAGUCCGGAAGAGGUGAGUGGAACUCCUAGUGUAGAGGUGGAAUUCGUAGAUAUUAGGAAGAACACCAGUGGCGAAGGCGGCUCACUGGCCCGUUACCGACGCUCAGGCGCGAAAGCGUGGGGAGCAAACAGG
rnacentral:rRNA from 1 species